rnacentral:rRNA from 1 species
UACGGGGGGGAGCAAGCGUUGUUCGGAUUUACUGGGCGUAAAGGGCGCGUAGGCGGUCAGCACAAGUCAGUUGUGAAAUCUCCGGGCUUAACUCGGAAAGGUCAACUGAUACUGUGCGACUAGAGUGCAGAAGGGGCAACUGGAAUUCUCGGUGUAGCGGUGAAAUGCGUAGAUAUCAGGAGGAACACCGAUGGCGAAGGCAGGUCUCUGGGCCAUAACUGACGCUGAGAAGCGAAAGCGUGGGGAGCGAACAGG